UACGUAGGGUGCAAGCGUUAAUCGGAAUUACUGGGCGUAAAGCGUGCGCAGGCGGUUGUGUAAGUCAGGUGUGAAAUCCCCGGGCUCAACCUGGGAAUUGCAUUUGAGACUGCACGGCUAGAGUGUGUCAGAGGGGGGUAGAAUUCCACGUGUAGCAGUGAAAUGUGUAGAGAUGUGGAGGAAUACCGAUGGCGAAGGCAGCCCCCUGGGAUAACACUGACGCUCAUGCACGAAAGCGUGGGGAGCAAACAGG
rnacentral:rRNA from 1 species